UGAAAACCCGAGGCUCAACCUCGGGCCUGCAGUGGGUACGGGCAAACUAGAGUGCGGUAGGGGAGACUGGAAUUCCUGGUGUAGCGGUGAAAUGCGCAGAUAUCAGGAGGAACACCGAUGGCGAAGGCAGGUCUCUGGUCUGUAACUGACGCUGAGGCGCGAAAGCGUGGGGAGCGAACAGGAUUAGAAACCCCAGUAGUCC
rnacentral:rRNA from 1 species